UACGUAGGGUGCAAGCGUUGUCCGGAAUUAUUGGGCGUAAAGAGCUCGUAGGCGGUUUGUCGCGUCUGCUGUGAAAACUCGGGGCUUAACCCCGGGCCUGCAGUGGGUACGGGCAGACUAGAGUGCGGUAGGGGAGACUGGAAUUCCUGGUGUAGCGGUGAAAUGCGUAGAUAUCAGGAGGAACACCUGUGGCGAAAGCGGCUCGCUGGACCAUAACUGACGCUGAUGCACGAAAGCUAGGGGAGCAAACAGG
rnacentral:rRNA from 1 species